GAUGAAGAACGCAGCGGAAUGCGAUAAGUAAUGCGAAUUGCAGAAUUCCAGUGAGUCAUCGAAUCUUUGAACGCACAUUGCGCCCUUUGGUAUUCCGAAGGGCAUGCCUGUUCGAGCGUCAUUAUCACCCCUCAAGCCCUCGGCUUGGUGUUGGACGGUUUGGUGGAGGCCCCCUCGGGGGUUCCUGCCCCUCCCAAAGACAAUGACGGCGGCCUCGUUGGACCCCCGGUACACUGAGUUCUUCACGGGACACGUAUCGGACACAUGGGUUUACGGGACACGGUCUGCCUCCCCUCAGGGAGAAUCUUUCUAAGGUUGACCUCGGAUCAGGUAGGGAUACCCGCUGAACUUAAGCAUAUCAAUAAGCGGAGGA
rnacentral:misc_RNA from 1 species